GAAAUUACAAGCUUACCCAAAAAAAAAUAUAUUUCUUUUCUUCAAACUCAAAAAAAAACCUUAAACCCUUUUGCAGAUUAGGGUUUCGUGCGUGACAUUGGUUGCAAGAUUUAUCUCAAUCAGCUUGCGGAUUCACCUUUGUUCAGAGGUUGAUAGAUGGAAAGAGAAGAGGGGUUAAGACAGGCAGAAGCUGAAGAAAAUACUGAAAUUGAGAUAGUUGGAACUGAAUUGCAACCAGAACAGGAAGCAACUAUAGCUGAGACUAGUAAAAAGAGAAGCUUGCUCAUCCAACAGCUUAGGCUUAAGCUGAAGAAAAUUACUGCCGAGAGAACGCGUAGUAGAUCAGGUCGGAAAAGGGAAAGAUCACCUGAAACAAUAAGUGCUGAUGAUGGUGGAGAUGGAAUGGAUAGGGAUGGUGGUAACACACAACAACCUAGCAAGAAGCAGUGUCUAAGUAGAUCACUGUCAAGGUCCAGGUCCACGGAAGUUGUGCCUGGAGAAGGCUUCAGAGAUUCUGCUCAAAAGAGUAAGGCAAUUAAACUUGCAAAGAAAUCUCUCAAAAAGAGAAACAAGGAAGCUCGUCGUGGAGAAGCGGAUAGAGUCAUACCUAAUCUCAAGCCCAAGCAUUUGUAUUCAGGGAAGCGCUCCAAUGGGAAGACUCAGAGGCGUUAAAUGGGGGAAGCUGAUUAUGCUGUACAGUUAUCUACAGGGCUACCAAGAAUUUUGGUUUGUUUUCAUGUUAGUUUUGUUGCUGCCAAGAGUUUUAUUCUUUUCAUUUUGGUUAUGCUUUUUUCGAGUAUAAUGUAUAGUGAUCACAACCAAGCUUAGACCUCUCUUUUCUCUUUACAUUAUUAUUACUAGUGAUUUGUUCAUUUGUGUCUGUCAACUACUUUACAGCUUGCUAUUUAUUUCUUCAGUUCAGCUUUGGAGACAAUAUAUACAUACAGUAUAUGAAUCAAA